ensembl:lncRNA
UAUCCCAUGAAGGGCGACCCUAUAUCCCAUAAGGGCCACCCCCAUAUGCCCAUAAGGGCACCCUAUAAUCCCCUAUAGGAACCCUAUAUCCCAUAUAGGGCACCCCAUAUCCCAUAUAGGGCACCCCAUAUCCCCUAUAGGGCACCCUAUAUCCCAUAUAGGGCACCCCAUAUCCCAUAUAGGGCACCUAUAUCCCAUAUAGGGCACCCCAUAUCCCAUAUAGGGCACCCUAUAUCCCAUAUAGGGCACCC